GCCGGGGUAGCUCAGUUGGCAGAGCAUUUCAUUUGUAACGAAAAGGUCGUGAGUUCGAGCCUCACCCUCGGCU
rnacentral:tRNA from 1 species